rnacentral:rRNA from 1 species
GAUGAACGCUGGCGGCGUGCCUAAUACAUGCAAGUCGAGCGAACGGACGAGAAGCUUGCUUCUCUGAUGUUAGCGGCGGACGGGUGAGUAACACGUGGAUAACCUACCUAUAAGACUGGGAUAACUUCGGGAAGCCGGAGCUAAUACCGGAUAAUAUUUUGAACCGUAUGGUUCAAAAGUGAAAGACGGUCUUGCUGUCACUUAUAGAUGGAUCCGCGCUGCAUUAGCUAGUUGGUAAGGUAACGGCUUACCAAGGCAACGAUGCAUAGCCGACCUGAGAGGGUGAUCGGCCACACUGGAACUGAGACACGGUCCAGACUCCUACGGGAGGCAGCAGUAGGGAAUCUUCCGCAAUGGGCGAAAGCCUGACGGAGCAACGCCGCGUGAGUGAUGAAGGUCUUCCGAUCGUAAAACUCUGUUAUUUAGGAAGAACAUAUGUGUAAAUUACUGUGCACAUCUUGACCGCCCCCUAUCAGAAAGCCCCGCUUACUAACUUGGCACAGCCGGGGGAAAUACGUAGUGGGAAGCGUUAUUCCGAAUUAUUGGGGCGAAAGCCCGCGUAGGCGGUUUUUUAAGUCUGAUGUGAAAGCCCACGGCUCAACCGUGGAGGGUCAUUGGAAACUGGAAAACUUGAGUGCAGAAGAGGAAAGUGGAAUUCCAUGUGUAGCGGUGAAAUGCGCAGAGAUAUGGAGGAACACCAGUGGCGAAGGCGACUUUCUGGUCUGUAACUGACGCUGAUGUGCGAAAGCGUGGGGAUCAAACAGGAUUAGAUACCCUGGUAGUCCACGCCGUAAACGAUGAGUGCUAAGUGUUAGGGGGUUUCCGACCCUUAGUGCUGCAGCUAACGCAUUAAGCACUCCGCCUGGGGAGUACGACCGCAAGGUUGAAACUCAAAGGAAUUGACGGGGACCCGCACAAGCGGUGGAGCAUGUGGUUUAAUUCGAAGCAACGCGAAGAACCUUACCAAAUCUUGACAUCCUUUGACAACUCUAGAGAUAGAGCCUUCCCCUUCGGGGGACAAAGUGACAGGUGGUGCAUGGUUGUCGUCAGCUCGUGUCGUGAGAUGUUGGGUUAAGUCCCGCAACGAGCGCAACCCUUAAGCUUAGUUGCCAUCAUUAAGUUGGGCACUCUAAGUUGACUGCCGGUGACAAACCGGAGGAAGGUGGGGAUGACGUCAAAUCAUCAUGCCCCUUAUGAUUUGGGCUACACACGUGCUACAAUGGACAAUACAAAGGGCAGCGAAACCGCGAGGUCAAGCAAAUCCCAUAAAGUUGUUCUCAGUUCGGAUUGUAGUCUGCAACUCGACUACAUGAAGCUGGAAUCGCUAGUAAUCGUAGAUCAGCAUGCUACGGUGAAUACGUUCCCGGGUCU